UACGGAGGGUGCAAGCGUUGCUCGGAAUUAUUGGGCGUAAAGGGUAGGUAGGUGGUCUCAUUUGUCUGGGGUGAAAGCCUUGGGCUUAACCCGAGAAGUGCCCCAGAAACGGUGAGACUGGAGUCCUGGAGAGGGUCGUGGAAUUCCCGGUGUAGCGGUGAAAUGCGUAGAGAUCGGGAGGAACACCAGAGGCGAAAGCGGCGACCUGGACAGGAACUGACACUCAACUACGAAAGCGUGGGGAGCAAACAGG
rnacentral:rRNA from 1 species